AGAGUUUGAUCAUGGCUCAGAUUGAACGCUGGCGGCAGGCCUAACACAUGCAAGUCGAACGGUAACAGGAAGCAGCUUGCUGCUUCGCUGACGAGUGGCGGACGGGUGAGUAAUGUCUGGGAAGCUGCCUGAUGGAGGGGGAUAACUACUGGAAACGGUAGCUAAUACCGCAUAAUGUCGCAAGACCAAAGAGGGGGACCUUCGGGCCUCUUGCCAUCGGAUGUGCCCAGAUGGGAUUAGCUUGUUGGUGGGGUAACGGCUCACCAAGGCGACGAUCCCUAGCUGGUCUGAGAGGAUGACCAGCCACACUGGAACUGAGACACGGUCCAGACUCCUACGGGAGGCAGCAGUGGGGAAUAUUGCACAAUGGGCGCAAGCCUGAUGCAGCCAUGCCGCGUGUAUGAAGAAGGCCUUCGGGUUGUAAAGUACUUUCAGCGGGGAGGAAGGGAGUAAAGUUAAUACCUUUGCUCAUUGACGUUACCCGCAGAAGAAGCACCGGCUAACUCCGUGCCAGCAGCCGCGGUAAUACGGAGGGUGCAAGCGUUAAUCGGAAUUACUGGGCGUAAAGCGCACGCAGGCGGUUUGUUAAGUCAGAUGUGAAAUCCCCGGGCUCAACCUGGGAACUGCAUCUGAUACUGGCAAGCUUGAGUCUCGUAGAGGGGGGGUAGAAUUCCAGGUGUAGCGGUGAAAUGCGUAGAGAUCUGGAGGAAUACCGGUGGCGAAGGCGGCCCCCUGGACGAAGACUGACGCUCAGGUGCGAAAGCGUGGGGAGCAAACAGGAUUAGAUACCCUGGUAGUCCACGCCGUAAACGAUGUCGACUUGGAGGUUGUGCCCUUGAGGCGUGGCUUCCGGAGCUAACGCGUUAAGUCGACCGCCUGGGGAGUACGGCCGCAAGGUUAAAACUCAAAUGAAUUGACGGGGGCCCGCACAAGCGGUGGAGCAUGUGGUUUAAUUCGAUGCAACGCGAAGAACCUUACCUGGUCUUGACAUCCACGGAAGUUUUCAGAGAUGAGAAUGUGCCUUCGGGAACCGUGAGACAGGUGCUGCAUGGCUGUCGUCAGCUCGUGUUGUGAAAUGUUGGGUUAAGUCCCGCAACGAGCGCAACCCUUAUCCUUUGUUGCCAGCGGUCCGGCCGGGAACUCAAAGGAGACUGCCAGUGAUAAACUGGAGGAAGGUGGGGAUGACGUCAAGUCAUCAUGGCCCUUACGACCAGGGCUACACACGUGCUACAAUGGCGCAUACAAAGAGAAGCGACCUCGCGAGAGCAAGCGGACCUCAUAAAGUGCGUCGUAGUCCGGAUUGGAGUCUGCAACUCGACUCCAUGAAGUCGGAAUCGCUAGUAAUCGUGGAUCAGAAUGCCACGGUGAAUACGUUCCCGGGCCUUGUACACACCGCCCGUCACACCAUGGGAGUGGGUUGCAAAAGAAGUAGGUAGCUUAACCUUCGGGAGGGCGCUUACCACUUUGUGAUUCAUGACUGGGGUGAAGUCGUAACAAGGUAACC
rnacentral:rRNA from 1 species